CCUAGGGAGGCAGCAGUGGGGAAUAUUGGACAAUGGGCGAAAGCCUGAUCCAGCAAUGCCGCGUGAGUGAUGAAGGCCUUCGGGUCGUAAAGCUCUUUUACCAGGGAUGAUAAUGACAGUACCUGGAGAAUAAGCUCCGGCUAACUCCGUGCCAGCAGCCGCGGUAAUACGGAGGGAGCUAGCGUUGUUCGGAAUUACUGGGCGUAAAGAGUACGUAGGCGGUUAUUCAAGUCAGAGGUGAAAGCCCGGGGCUCAACCCCGGAACUGCCUUUGAAACUAGAUAACUAGAGUCUUGGAGAGGUUAGUGGAAUUCCGAGUGUAGAGGUGAAAUUCGUAGAUAUUCGGAAGAACACCAGUGGCGAAGGCGACUAACUGGACAAGUACUGACGCUGAGGUACGAAAGCGUGGGGAGCAAACAGGAUUAGAUACCCUGGUAGUCCACGCCGUAAACGAUGAUAACUAGUUGUUCGGUCACUUGGUGACUGAGUGACGCAGCUAACGCAUUAAGUUAUCCGCCUGGGGAGUACGGUCGCAAGAUUAAAACUCAAAUGAAUUGACGG
rnacentral:rRNA from 1 species